rnacentral:rRNA from 1 species
GACAGAGGCCCCGAGCGUUAGGCGGAAUCACUGGGCUUAAAGCGUGUGUAGGCGGAUCGUUAAGUGUCUUGUGAAAUCCCACGGCUCAACCGUGGAACUGCUGGGCAUACUGGCGAUCUUGGGCCAUUCAGGGGCGACCGGAACAAGCGGUGGAGCGGUGAAAUGCGUAGAUAUCGCUUGGAACGCCGAAGGUGAAAACAGGUCGCUGGGGAUGUGCCGACGCUGAGACACGAAAGCCAGGGGAGCAAACGGG